rnacentral:rRNA from 1 species
AUUGAACGCUGGCGGCAGGCCUAACACAUGCAAGUCGAACGAGUGGCGGACGGGUGAGUAAUGUCUGGGAAACUGCCUGAUGGAGGGGGAUAACUACUGGAAACGGUAGCUAAUACCGCAUACCCUCAGAUGUGCCCAGAUGGGCUUAGCUUGUUGGUGGGGUAACGGCUAACCAAGGAGACGAUCCCUAGCUGGUCUGAGAGGAUGACCAGCCACACUGGAACUGAUGCACGGUCCAGACGCCUACGGGAGGCAGCAGUGGGAGAGAUGGCACAAUGUGCACAAGCCUGAUGCAGCCAAUCCGCGUAUAUGAAGAAGGCCUUCGGGUUGUAAAGGACUUUCAGCGGGUAGGCGUUACCCGCAGAAGAAGCGCCGGCUAACUCCGUGCCAGCAGCCGCGGUAAUUC